ensembl:lincRNA
CUCUUUUUAAUUAUCAGGAGCAGACACACAAAUGACACAUUUUCAGGAAAAUAAAAUCCAAUAACACAACAUUAGUCUUAAAUGUAAACUCCCUGCUGGAUUCUGUGAAUGUUGGUGUUUAAUUUAAUAAUUAUAAACAAUAGAUAACCAUACCGACAACAAAACGAUUGGUUGGUUGACGGUGGCCAUAGCAACGACAAACGUCAGGGAGGAUUGUGAGCUUAAAACACAUUUAAAUCCGAAAUUAAAAUAAAAUUAAAUCUCUCUUUCCCACUGUGUGUGUGUGUGUGUGUGUGUGUUUGUGUACGUGUGCGUGUGCGUGUGUGUUCAGGUGUGGAGCGGUUCUGCAGUUUUACUCAGUCAGAUCCCUGUUAUGCAGCUCUGGGACACAAACUCAAUCUGCAGAUGGUGAACGCCAGUAAAUAUAGCCUGACCAUAAUAAAGAGAAUAAACAACAUAGAUGAUGCAGUUUGUAGAGUAAGAAAUGACACAAAGAGAGCAAAUGUAUGUGAUCUUUACAUAAACAGACCUGAAGUGAGAAUCAUUAAAGGGACUGUGAUGAUAAACUCUGUGAAGAGAGAAGAUUCAGGAAAUUACAGAUUAGAACUCUUUAAUCCUGACGGCACAGAAACAUCUCAAUAUCUUCAGGUGAAUGUUGAAGCUCCUGUUGGCUCAGUGAAAGUGUCAAUCAUCUGCUCCUCCAAUCAGAUGAGGUCAGUGUCCUGCUCCUCUGAGGGGGAUCAGCUCCUCUACAGCUGGACUCUCAAUGGAGAAACACAGACAGAUGGAAACUCCACCAUUCAGCUUCAAGAGGAAACUAAAGGAGAAAUCACCUGCACUGUGAAGAACCACGUCAGCCAAGGAAACACGACUGUUAGCAUUAAAGACUGUCCUGGAUCAACUACUGAUGCUGUGACCUCUAGUUUGACCACAAAGACAUCUGAAAAUGGUACGAGUCUCUCAACAGAAAAAACUACUCAAAAUUACAGCUCUGGAAGUCUUUUUACACUUGCACGGUACUUAUUAAUCGCUAUGGGCUGUGUUGCGGUGAUCCUGAUUCUACUGUUCAUCAUUGUAUACUACGUUUACAGGAAGAAACAACACAAGUCACCAACACCAGCACCUCCUUCUGGAGACGUGGAGCUCAUUUACACUCACAUCUCUCAUCAAAAAACCAACAAACAAGGUGCAGGAAAGAAAAAAGAAGCGUCUCCAGAUGAUGAUGUGGAAUAUUCUGCGGUCAGAGUUCAGAAAAAGAAGAAGAACAAGCCGGAGGAAGAGGUUCAGUACGGAGAGGUGACGUUCAGCCCUAAACACUCAAACACCCAAAAUCAGCAGCAGCAGCAGCAGCAGCCGGCGGAGGAGUGUGUGUACUCAGAGGUACAUAGAAGCUAGAAGAGUCUGAGAAACACACACACACACACACACACACACACACACACACUCUCUGCUCAGUCAGAUUUACAGUCCACACACAUGUGCAUUAGGAGCUUGUGUAUAUUAUGAUGCUUUAUUUCAGUAUGUUAAUGAUAUGUGUGGCAUGUUAUACUGAAUACUGAUUCAUUGGAUUUACACUUUUUUUUUUAAGGUAAGGGGUUGCAAACAGGGUGGCACAGUGGUUAUCACUGUGGCCUCACAGGAAAAAGGUUGCUGGUUUAGUCCAGGGUGGUCCAGUUGGCGUUUCUGAGUAGAGUUUGCAUGUUCCUCCCGUGUUGGCGUGGGUUUCCUCCGGGUGAUUCGGUUUCCCCUUCAGUCCAAACACAUGCGCUAUAGGUGAAUUGAAUAAACUAAUUCAUUUGUUGUGUAUGAGUGUGUGUGUGUGUGUGUGUGUGUGUUUGUGUGUGUGUGUGUUUGUGUGUGUGUGUGUGAAUGAGACUGUAUGGGUGUUUCCCAGAACUGGGUUGCAGCUGUAAGGGCAUGAGCUGUGUAAAAAAAUAUACCAGAAUAGUUGGUGGUUCAUUCUGCUGUGGCGACCCCUGAUAAAUAAGGGAAUAAGCCGAAGGAAAAGGAAUAAAUGAUGGUUGCAAACUAUUUAUAUGGGCUGAAUUUAAACAAACUAAAUUUAAGCUGAGCAUUACUAUAUUUUGUUUGUUUGUUUAAAUUCAGGCCGUAUAAAUAGUUUGCAAUGACUUACCUUUAAAAAAAAGAGUAAAUUCAAUGAAUCAUUUUUUUUCAGUGUAUGAACAUAGAAUUGUACAGAGAAAUGACAUUUUGAUAAAUACAGAGAUGCUAUUAGAGUCUGAGAAACGCACACACACACACACACACAAACACACUUCUGCUUGGUCAGAUUUACAGUCCACCACACGUUUACUCACAGGUACAUAGAAGCUAGAAGAAUCUGAGAAACACACGCACACACACACACGCGCACAGUCAGAUUUACAGUCCACAAACAUGCGCAUUGAGAGCAUGUGUGAAUAAUGAUGAGGUAUUUCCGUAUGUUAAUGAUGAUGUUGAUGUUGUGUGGCAUGUUAUGAACAUAGAAUUGUACAUAGAGAUGACAUUUGUAUGCUAUUCCCCUGGGCUUUCUUGUCUUAAUAUUAAAUUCAAAAAGAUUUGCUGUGUUUGUUGGAAAAUAAAAAUAGGAAGCAUGCUUUAAAGUAGAGUGAAGUUUGAUAUCAUUAUUAUUAUUAUUUUGCUGAUAAAACACCCUGUAUAAGUGCUGGGUUGUUUUCAGUUUUUUGGUUAUAUAUGGACAAGUCUAACUGAUGGGUUACAUUUUUACAAUUAAUUUGUAACCCAACAGGUGGGUUUGUCCAUUUUAAACCAAAUAUUGAGUUGAAACUACCCAGCAUUUAAUAAAAUUUGUUUAUGAUCAAAAAUACAUUAACCCUGUAAAAUAUGAUUUACUUUGGCGCAACUGUUGGAUAAAAAAAAAAUCUAUUUAUCUGUAACCCAGUUGUUGGGUUUGUCAAUUUUUGAUGCAGAAUUGGGUUGAAGCUAUCUAAAAUGCUG